UACGUAGGGUGCAAGCGUUGUCCGGAAUUAUUGGGCGUAAAGAGCUCGUAGGCGGUUUGUCGCGUCUGCCGUGAAAGUCCGGGGCUCAACUCCGGAUCUGCGGUGGGUACGGGCAGACUAGAGUGCAGUAGGGGAGACUGGAAUUCCUGGUGUAGCGGUGAAAUGCGCAGAUAUCAGGAGGAACACCGGUGGCGAAGGCGGGUCUCUGGGCCGAUACUGACGCUCGAUGCACGAAAGCGUGGGGAGCAAACAGG
rnacentral:rRNA from 1 species